rnacentral:lncRNA from 1 species
CCAAAGCGAGAUGCGGUGAUAGUGAUCGGCGACGCUUUCCAUGGGUGCAGUGCCAUCAAUAAUGGCAAAUCUCACAAGUAUAGGUAAGUAGUUUAACCAUGCAUCAUUUUUAAUAGAGAAAACAGAGUUGAGCUUCAUCUCUUAUGGCUUAGAGAACCAGACCAAUCAUUAUAACAAGUGUUGUUGGCUAAACUUGUGUUCACCGACAUGGAGAAGACUGGAGUGCAGCUGGUUAAGCAGGAGCUUUAGUGGAUUUCAAAUGAAGGCGUUGGCGGGAGCAGUUGGAGUGAAGCGUUGGAGUGGGGUGACCACGGGCCACGACGUCGCAUCGUGUCUGCAGUUGUUUUUAGCCAACUUGUAUCUUGUGUUUAAGACUUCCUAUGUGUGUAAUAGGUGUAAUAAGCUAUUGGUAUAAAUAGCUGGAUGUAAGUAGAGCGCGCUAGCGCUUCAGACACUAUCUGUAAUCGUGUGAUACUCUGUUCGUGCUUAGUGAAAUAGGGCACUGUCUCCCUUGUGACAGUUGCCGUUUUGGGGCC